GACGUAGGGCGCGAGCGUUGUCCGGAUUUAUUGGGCGUAAAGAGCUCGUAGGCGGUUUGGUAAGUCUGGUGUGAAAUCUCCACGCUCAACGUGGAGGGGCCACCCGGUACUGCCAUGACUGGAGUCCGGUAGAGGAGUGUGGAAUUCCCGGUGUAGCGGUGAAAUGCGCAGAUAUCGGGAGGAACACCCGUAGCGAAGGCGGCACUCUGGGCCGGUACUGACGCUGAGGAGCGAAAGCGUGGGGAGCAAACAGG
rnacentral:rRNA from 1 species